GGGAGUUAGAGCAAUCUAGCUGCAACAUCUGUCACCCCAUUCAUCACCAGGGUUGAUAUCACUAAUCUGGCCUGGCUAGACUGACGUCCUCUUAUUCCCUCACUGCUCCAUGGGUAUCCACGUGUGCUGGGUGGAAGAGGAUGAUCUUCCCUGGCAGAGGCAGGUCAUUCUUUGGUCAAGGUCAAAGAAGUACACUUCCCUGCUGGAAUCUUGACACUCUCAAGGUACGUUUGUAGACAAAUGUAGAGUGUCUUUCAAGAUUUCAGGCACAUCCAAAUGAGGCUCUGUACAUGGAUUCUGCCUUGCUAA
rnacentral:snRNA from 1 species